UAAGUCUCCUGAAGGAACGUUAAAGACGAUGACGUUGGUAGGCCGGGUGUGUAAGCGCAGCGAUGCGUUGAGCUAACCGGUACUAAUGAACCGUGAGGCUUAACCUUACAACGCCGAAG
rnacentral:rRNA from 1 species